GACGAACGCUGGCGGCGUGGAUUAGGCAUGCAAGUCGAACGGUAUCAUCCUUUCGGGGGUGAGAGAGUGGCGAACUGGUGAGUAACACGUAGGUUAUCUACCCUCAAGACGGGGACAACCCAGGGAAACUUGGGCUAAUACCGGAUGUGAGCAACUUUUAGUUGUUUGAAAGGUGGCGUAAGCUGUCGCUUGGGGAUGAGCCUGCGUCCUAUUAGUUAGUUGGUGAGGUAACGGCUCACCUAGGCAAUGAUAGGUAGGCGGCCUUAACGGGUGGUCGCCCACACUGGGAUUGAGAUACGGCCCAGACUCCUACGGGAGGCAGCAGUCGAGAAUAGUCUACAAUGGUCGGAAGACUGAUAGUGCGACGCCGCGUGAACGAUGAAUCCCGUUCGGGGUUAAAGUUCUUUUAUAUGUGAGCAGUGCUUCUUAUAUUAACAGUAUGGGGAAGAGAUAUUAGCAUAUGAAUAAGCAACGGCUAACUCCGUGCCAGCAGCCGCGGUAA
rnacentral:rRNA from 1 species